GGGGUAUUUUGGGUCCCUGACGCUCCUCUGUUCUUCUGAGGCAGGAGGCAGAGAACCUAAGGCCGAUCCACGCUGGACUUCCUAGAACUAAAUCAAAUGGAAACACUUCAGCUACGACAGGAAAUAUCCUCUUCAUUUACAUAGGGCAUACACCAAGUAACCAAUGGAAACCUCUAGAGUAUAUUUCAACCCAGAAUACUCUGUAAUGGGGCUCUUGAGCCCCUAUGCUCGACGCCCCUAUGGGGUGUACUUUCAUUUUCAAUAAAUCUCUGUGUUUGUUGCUUCAUUCUUUCCUUGCUUUGUUUGUGUGUUUUGUCCAAUUCUUUGUUCAAGACGCCAACAACCUGGACACCUUUAACUGGUAACAUAUUUUGGUGAACCAGCCAGGAGCAAUGUGUUUGUCUGCAUACAGUUAAGCAGGGCCGCUAGGGCCACUCAGGGAGAAAGAACUCAGAAGCCUGACAUGCCGGCAAAAAGGUAAAGAAAGCUUUUUAUGGUUUGGAUCUUCUGAGAACAUCAGAGAAAGACUGUCCUUGCCAUCCACACUACAGCAAAAUUUUGGGACCUUGAACUUUGGGUUUAUAAUCUCACAACUGAGAAGGGUCCCUCCACAUUCUUGGAACUGUAUAUCCAUUGGAAUCCUUAAGAGACCAUCAAGCUUCAGAUGAUCAUGCAACAUGGGUUCCAGCCAGUUCCAAGUGAAGAGACCACCCCCGGCCAUCAAGGAACUACCCUCCCUCCACUAAACAGAGCAGGGCUAGCGUUCCAUGAUCCCCAAUAGGUAGGGACUAUGCCCUAAGCCAGCAUAAAGUAGUUAAAGAAGAAAGACCAUCCGUUCCUCUGCCUUCUAUAAAGAUUUAUGGGAUCACAUCUCUCAGGGGAGAAAUAAGGCAGGAGAAUAUGGUCUGGAGGCAGGGAACCUAAGGCCAAUUCACGCUGGACUUCCUAGAAGUGAAUCAAAUGGAAACACUUCAGCUAUGACAGGGAAUAUCCUCUCCAUUUACAUAGGGCAUACACCGAGUAUCCAAUGGAAACCUCUAGAGGGUAUUUAGACCCCAGGAAAUUCUGUAAUGGGGCUCUUCAACCCCUAUGCUUGGGCCACUCCCACCCUGUGUGGUGUGUACUUUUGUUUUCAAUAAAUCUCUGCUUUUGUUGCUUCA